AUUGAAGGGCUGGUAACCUGGUUACCAAGAGAAAGUUCUCUUCUAACUUCGCUCUUGCAUUUUCUCCUGUUGGGAGCUCUCCAAGCUAGUGUCUAAGAUGCUCCAUGAAAAGGACCUGCCACAGAGAAUGACCCUGCUGUGAAAUCUACCCCUCUAGCCUGGAAUGAAGGAACAUUCUUUCCAGUGCUCCUCCCACAAAAAUACUUGAAGAGAAUGAUCAUUUAAAUUUUCUGCAUCUGGAGAAGACUCGCGACUCCCUGCCUCCGCCUGCUCUGAGGUAACUGGAAAAGAUAAAGAAAGCUGCGCGCCAUGCUUUCCCACAUGAAAAGGACUGCUCUGUGGCAGGACAACUCCAUGCCUAAAUCCUGCUUGAGGCCAAGAAGUUAUUCUGGUUCCUGGAAAUAUUACCCACAGUUCUUCUGAAUGAGGAUGCCCACAAGCUAACCAAAAUCAAGCUAAAUGAAGUGAAUUAUAAAGUAGAUUCCAUUGAACUGGAGAUAAAUAAUAUGGUCGCCUUCUUCUCUGAAAACUAAAAGACUUUAUUAACUUGGAGGCCCAGAUUCCAAAAGCCUGACCAGGGAGUUUUACCAAAUAACAGGAGUAAUGAUGCUGAGUUGGGUAGAGAAGAUCUGUGAACAGAAAUACAACUGUCCCAGUAAGUAAUACUGUUGCUUUAGAAAUUUCAGUUGUGGUUCAUUCGUAUUGAUGUGCUAUGUUUAGUGCUUAAUAUUCAUUUUAGGCCUUUCUAAAACAGUGCUUCUCCAUGAGUCAUAACAAAUUAAUAAGAAAAAGCAAAUAACUAUGAAAAA